rnacentral:tRNA from 1 species
CUCCUUAUAGUUUAAUGGAAGAACGUGGGUCUUCUAAACCUAAGAUUGAGGUUCGAAUCCUCGUAGGGAGU